rnacentral:rRNA from 1 species
GGUGAACGCUGGCGGCGUGCCUAAUACAUGCAAGUCGAACGAAGAUCUAGCUUGCUAGAUCUUAGUGGCGAACGGGUGAGUAAUACAUAAAUAAUCUGCCCAUAUGACUGGGAUAACUAUUGGAAACGAUAGCUAAUACCGGAUAGGUUGAUCGGAGGCAUCUCUGAUGAAUUAAAGUAGGAUUUCUACACAAAUGGAUGAGUUUAUGGCGCAUUAGUUAGUUGGUGGGGUAACGGCCUACCAAGACGAUGAUGCGUAGCCGACCUGAGAGGGUGACCGGCCACACUGGGACUGAGACACGGCCCAGACUCCUACGGGAGGCAGCAGUAGGGAAUUUUCGGCAAUGGGCGCAAGCCUGACCGAGCAACGCCGCGUGAGUGAUUAAGACCUUCGGGUUGUAAAGCUCUGUUGUAAGGGAAGAACAUUCAGGAUAGGAAAUGAUCUUGAACUGACGGUACCUUACCAGAAAGCCACGGCUAACUACGUGCCAGCCGCCGCCGUAA